rnacentral:sRNA from 1 species
GGAUCAGAGUCACCAAGGUGGACUGGCAGCGGUCAAGGAAUGGCACUGCCCACCACACCCAGGAGUACCCCUGCCCUGAGCUGGUGGUUCGCAGGGGCCAGUCGUUCAGCCUUACGCUGGAGCUGAGCAGAGCCCUGGACUGUGAGGAGACCCUCAUCUUCACGGUGGAGACAGUUUGAGGAGGACAUCUUGAACAUCUGCCUCUCCAUCCUGGAUCAAAGCCCCGGUCACCAAAACAACCCAGCCACAGACGUGUCCUGCCGCCACGACCCCAUCUAUGUCACCAGGGUCAUCAGUGCCAUGGUGAACAGCAACAAUGACCGAGGUGUGGUGCAAGGACAGUGGCAGGGCAAGUACAGCGGCGGCACCAGCCCGCUGCACUGGCGAGGCAGCGUGGCCAUUCUGCAGAAGUGGCUCAAGGGCAGGUACAAGCCAGUCAAGUACGGCCAGUGCUGGGUCUUCGCGGGAGUCAUGUGCACAGUCCUCAGGUGCUUGGGGAUAGCCACACGGGUCGUGUCCAACUUCAACUCAGCCCACGACACAGACCAGAACCUGAGUGUGGACAAAUACGUGGACUCCUUCGGGCGGACCCUGGAGGACCUGACAGAAGACAGCAUGUG